UACGGGGGGGGCAAGCGUUGUUCGGAAUUACUGGGCGUAAAGGGCUCGUAGGCGGCCAACUAAGUCGGAUGUGAAAUCCCCAGGCUUAACCUGGGAACUGCAUCCGAUACUGGAUGGCUUGAAUUCGGGAGAGGGAUGCAGAAUUCCAGGUGUAGCGGGUGAAAAUGCGUAGAUAUCUGGAGGAACACCGGUGGCGAAGGCGGCAUCCUGGACCAACACUGACACUGAGGAGCGAAAGCCAGGGGAGCAAACGGG
rnacentral:rRNA from 1 species